UACGAAGGGGGCUAGCGUUGCUCGGAAUUACUGGGCGUAAAGCGCACGUAGGCGGCUUUCUAAGUCGGGGGUGAAAUCCUGGAGCUCAACUCCAGAACUGCCUUCGAUACUGGAGAGCUCGAGUCCGGGAGAGGUGAGUGGAACUGCGAGUGUAGAGGUGAAAUUCGUAGAUAUUCGCAAGAACACCAGUGGCGAAGGCGGCUCACUGGCCCGGUACUGACGCUGAGGUUCGAAAGCGUGGGGAGCAAACAGG
rnacentral:rRNA from 1 species